UACGUAGGGUGCAAGCGUUGUCCGGAAUUAUUGGGCGUAAAGAGCUCGUAGGCGGUCUGUCGCGUCUGCUGUGAAAACUCAGGGCUCAACCCGGAGACGCCAUCUGAUACUGCGGUGACUGGAGUCUGGUAGGGGAACACGGAAUUCCUGGUGUAGCGGUGAAAUGCGCAGAUAUCAGGAGGAACACCGAUGGCGAAGGCAGUGUUCUGGGCCAGUACUGACGCUGAGGAGCGAAAGCGUGGGGAGCAAACAGG
rnacentral:rRNA from 1 species